AUGAAAAUAAUCAGCUGGAACUGCCGGGGACUCGGGAAUGGCCCGGCAGUUCGCUCUCUUCUCGAAUUGGGAAGAGUGGAGAAUCCCGAUGUUUUGCUCCUUUGUGAAACAUGGAUGGAGGAGAAGCAGCUGGGGAGGUUUAGGUGGUUGUUGGGGCUCGCCAACAUGGUAGCGCGGAAGGACGAAAGUAGUGGUAGGGGAGUGGCAUUGUUUUGGCGCAAGGAGUUGAAUGUUUCUCUCGGAUCAUACGGUAGGAGGCAUGUGGAUGUGGAUAUCACAAGGGAGGAUGGGCUGGUGUGGCGUCUCAAGGGGGUUUAUGGAGAAUCAGCCAUGGAGAGGAAGGAGACGUGGAAAACGAUGCGUAUUCUAAAACAGCAACACCAAGGUGGACGCCCGUGGCUGUGUCUUGGCGAUUUCAAUGAAGUUCUGACAAGUAGCGAGAAGCUUGGAGGAGCUGAUCGAUCGCAACGUUACCUCGAUGAAUUUCGCCAAGCAUUGAACUUCUAUGAGCUGAGAGACAUUGGCUUUGAAGGUGACUUGUAUACUUGGAGAAAUCAUAGCAAGGAGAUGCGAACAUAUAUAUGUGAAAGGUUGGACCGGGCCACCGCAAACAAUGACUAG
rnacentral:rRNA from 1 species